UUAGAAAAAGAGGUACAAUAGAGGUCCAUUUUUGUUCCCUAAGGUACAAACUUUGCAUAUGUACCCUUAAAAGUACAAAAAUGUAUCUUUAAGGUACAAUUGUGCACCUUUAAGGUACAAUUAUGCACCUUCCAUUGUACAUUGUGAGCUUUUCGAGGUGUAAGGUACAUAUUUGUCCCUUACAUAUUUGUACCUUAAUGUUUAAAUAUAAAAUGGCAGGAAUUAGUGGAUGCUGAAAAUGUCAUCUCUCAAUAUAGAAACACAAGUUAACCUAUACUAUCAAACUCAAUAAUGUCAAACUAAAUUAACUGUGAAGUUUUGAGAUAUGGGCAAAAUAAAUCAGAAUGUGUAAAGUUUUGAGAUAUGGGCAAAAUAAAUCAGAAUGUUUUUUUUUUUUUUUUUUUGUGAAGUGUCCCUUUGAAUCAUUUUUAAUCAUGUUAAUGAGGAUUAUGUAAUCAUUUAUAUUCACAAACAGUAUUGAAGAAUUUGAUUUUCAAACCAUUUACCCUAUUUAUAUUAGAAUAAAACAGACAAAUAAUUGUUAAUGCUUUAAGUUGUGUUCUAUUGAAAGGAUCUAGCUACAGGCUAACCAGAGUUUGACUCGGCGGAAGCAUAAAUAUUGCAGCGCGGAAGGAUACAUGAGUGAAUCGACAGUGAUCCAACUGUCAGUCUCUGUCAGUGUCGAUCAAAGGUGGGAGGAUGGCCCUUCGACAUUUAUCAACGGAGGAUUUAAUCACGGAGUUAUUUACUUUGGGGAUAGAGGUCACUGAAGAGGAGAAAAGUAAAUUCAAAGAUAAUGAUGUUGAUGGAGAAGCAGUGGACUCUGGAUUGACUGAGAGGAUGAUUUCAUGCCUCUUUGAAGGGUCGUUUAAGAAGCAAGCCAAAUUCAACUGAUUUGUUCAGCAGUGGAAAAAAAAGCCUGUGAAGUACAUUCAGAGAAGGCUACAGCACAUACAUACUGUGUCAAUGAUAAACAGUUUGUUAGUAUGGGGCAUUUAUGUUAAGCUGUGUUGCGAGGGCUGUAGAGGGUUGUGGAUGAGCUCAAAGCUUGUGUUUUUUAAUCCAGAACACAUCAAGUGUCAUUUAGUUUAUCCGUUAUUUGACUCUCUUUACUUUUGGUGGUCUUUGAUUAAAAACUCAUGUUUUUCUGCACUAUAUUGCUGUUCUUAUUAGUGAUGUUCAGGAAAUUGAAAGAAGGAAAAUAUAAAUGGUUACAUUGUAUUUAUUCUCUGAUAUCGCUGUUCAUUUUGUUUUUGGAGUGGCAGUAAGUUGUCAGUUUGUCAGUGAAAUGCUUCUUAAAAAAAUUUAAUUAAUUAUUUUUAAUGUUUUUAUAUCAGACAUGACAUCCUAAACAUUGUUACAUUUUAUUUUGGGUUGUUACAUUGAAUGGUUGUGAGAUGAAUUAUUAUUGAAUCUGUGAAUUAAAUUUCCAUUUAAGGACUAAAAUAAAUGUCUUAAAAUUCA